rnacentral:rRNA from 1 species
GGGUUAAUUUAAUUUAAAAGUUUUAUAUAUCUAAAAUUAAUUAAAAUUAUUAAAAAGAGUAAAAGUUUAAGUAUAUUUAUAAAAAAAAUUAAUAAAAUUAUAAAAAAAGUAAUGUAAAUGAAAAUUUUAAAAAUAAAUAAAAGUAAAUUUAAAUUAUUGUACCUUUAGUAUCAGGGUUGAUUAAAUAAAAUUUUAAGAAUUUUAAUUAUCUCGAAUAAAAAAGAGCUAAAUAAUUAUGAUAGUUAAUGUUGAAAAAUUAUUAUAAAUAAUUAUUUAGGGAAUAUAUUUCAAUCGUGUUUUUAUAUAUCUAGUUUUUUUUGAUUAAAUUUAAUUUAAAUAUAUAAAUUUAUAUUAAAAUUAUUAUUAGGUAGUUGAAAAUAAUAUAUUUUAUUUAUAUAUAAAAAAUUUGUGGGAUAAUCUAUAAAUUUAAUUUUAAAAUUUUUAAAUAAAUAAAUUUAAUAAUAAAAAUAUUCAUAAAAUUAGAAAUUUAUAUAAAAAAUUUAAUAAUUUAUAUUUAUUUAUACAUGAAUAUGUAUAUAAAUAAAAAAUAAUUUGAUUUUAAAAUUUAAUUAAAUAAAAAAAUAUUUAAUAAAAUAAAAAUAUUAAAAAAAUAAUGAUUAAAUAAGUAUUAAAAAAUUAAAUAAUAUAAAUUAUAUUAAAUUAUAAUGUAAAAAAUUUAUUAAAGGAAUUAGGCAAAAUUAUUAAUAUAUCAAUAAUAUAUAUAUAUAUUAUAUUAAAUUCAUCUGUUUAAUAAAAACAUAGUUUUAUGAAAUUUAUAUAAAAUAAGUUCUGCUCCAUGAUGUAGUAAUUAAAUAGCCGCAGUAUAUUGACUGUGCGAAGGUAGCAUAAUCAUUUGUUCUUUAAUUGGGAACUGGAAUGAAGGAAUAAAUGAAAUUUAAACUGUCUUAAAAAAAAAAUAAGAAUUUAAAUUUUUAGUAAAAAUGCUAAAAUUUUAUUAAGGGACGAGAAGACCCUAUAGAAUUUUAUAUAAAAUAAAAAAUUUUUUUUAUUUUAUAUUUAAUUGGGGGGAUUAUUAAAUUUUUAAAACUUUAUAAAGAAGUUGAUAAAAAUUAUCAAUAAAAACAUUAAUUAAUGAAAUAUUAAAGAAUAAAUAUUAUAAUUUAUAAUAUUAAUAAUAGAAUUAAUUACCUUAGGGAUAACAGCGUUAUAUUAUUAUGAAGAUCAAAUUUAUAAUAAUGAUUGCGACCUCGAUGUUGAAUUAAAAUAAAAAUUAAAUGAAGAAGUUUAAUAUUUUAGUCUGUUCGACUAUUAAAAUUUUACAUGAUUUGAGUUUAGAUCGGCGUGAGCCAGAUCGGAUUCUAUCUUUAAUAAUUUAUUAAUAAUUUUGUACGAAAGGACUUAUUAUUAAAAAAAUUUUUUUUUUUAAGAAUAAUAAUAAUAAUUUUUUAAAUUUAUAAAAUUAUUUAUAAUAAUAG